rnacentral:misc_RNA from 1 species
AAAGAAGUUAACCUGACCUUCCUUCAAAAGCUGAAUGAGGUUACACAAUCUGCAUUAUGAUGACAGUCUCUGGCUUGAUCUGGGUUUUGAACGUUAUACUGCUUGCAUUCUACGCGCGGAAGUAACCAAGUGGAUCGCGAUAUCUUCAUCAUCCCACGCCUUUGUUCAUCUGGAUGUGGACUCGAAAUUGGUACAUCAUCAUCUGCUUAGGACAACACUAAUGUGAAAUAGACAACAUUAUGAGCUAACGACGACUCGCGCUGAUUUUAUAAGUGCCUCUACUAUUUAAGUUAUAGCCAAUUUUGUCGAAUAUUUAACUUUUAUCAAUCUUGCAAAAUUGAUAGCAAUGUAAUGUAUGUGAUGAGAAAAUCAAUUUUGUGGAAAGACCAAUAUUUUCUGCUUCUACAGAA